rnacentral:lncRNA from 1 species
GAUUCUGCAAUUUAUUUCGGUGCCUGCUAGAGGUCACACCACAAGGCCACUGUCCACAUAUCAGCAGUCCCCUGAAGCAGCUGGGAGGAAAAAACCUCUUUCCCCAGCCAAGAUCAAGCCUGCUUGCCCUGCACACGCCUGAAGAAGGCUUGGCUGGGGCUGGAAUGGAGGCAGGGGUCACUUCACUGCCUCAUGACCCCUACUCUAUAGGCAUAAUGAUACCUUCCAUUGCCUAAGCCCUGCC